AUUGAACGCUGGCGGCAUGCCUUACACAUGCAAGUCGAACGGUAACAGGUCUUCGGAUGCUGACGAGUGGCGAACGGGUGAGUAAUACAUCGGAACGUGCCCGAGAGUGGGGGAUAACGAGGCGAAAGCUUUGCUAAUACCGCAUACGAUCUCAGGAUGAAAGCAGGGGACCGCAAGGCCUUGCGCUCACGGAGCGGCCGAUGGCAGAUUAGGUAGUUGGUGGGAUAAAAGCUUACCAAGCCGACGAUCUGUAGCUGGUCUGAGAGGACGACCAGCAACACUGGGACUGGGACACGGCCCAGACUCCUACGGGAGGCAGAAGUGGGGAAUUUUGGACAAUGGGCGCAAGCCUGAUCCAGCCAUGCCGCGUGCAGGAUGAAGGCCUUCGGGUUGUAAACUGCUUUUGUACGGAACGAAAAGACUCUUUCUAAUAAAGAGAGGUCAUGACGGUACCGUAAGAAUAAGCACCGGCUAACUACGUGCCAGCCGCCGCCGUAAAAC
rnacentral:rRNA from 1 species